AGUGAACGCUGGCGGUAGGCCUAACACAUGCAAGUCGAACGGCAGCACAGUAAGAGCUUGCUCUUACGGGUGGCGAGUGGCGGACGGGUGAGGAAUACAUCGGAAUCUACUUUUUCGCGGGGGAUAACGUAGGGAAACUUACGCUAAUACCGCAUACGACCUACGGGUGAAAGCAGGGGAUCUUCGGACCUUGCGCGAUUGAAUGAGCCGAUGUCGGAUUAGCUAGUUGGCGGGGUAAAGGCCCACCAAGGCGACGAUCCGUAGCUGGUCUGAGAGGAUGAUCAGCCACACUGGAACUGAGCCACGGUCCAGACUCCUACGGGAGGCAGCAGUGGGGAAUAUUGGACAAUGGGCGCAAGCCUGAUCCAGCCAUACCGCGUGGGUGAAGAAGGCCUUCGGGUUGUAAAGCCCUUUUGUUGGGAAAGAAAAGCAGCAGGUUAAUACCCCGCUGUUCUGACGGUACCCAAAGAAUAAGCACCGGCUAACUUCGUG
rnacentral:rRNA from 1 species